rnacentral:rRNA from 1 species
GACGAACGCUGGCGGCGUGCUUAACACAUGCAAGUCGAACGGAAAGGCCCUGCUUUUGUGGGGUGCUCGAGUGGCGAACGGGUGAGUAACACGUGAGUAACCUGCCCUUGACUUUGGGAUAACUUCAGGAAACUGGGCUAAUACCCGAUAGGAGGCCCCUCCUCAUGGGUGGGGUUUGAAAGUUUCGGCGGUUGGGGAUGGACUCGCGGCUUAUCAGCUUGUUGGUGGGGUAGUGGCUUACCAAGGCUUUGACGGGUAGCCGGCCUGAGAGGGUGACCGGCCACAUUGGGACUGAGAUACGUCCCAGACUCCUACGGGAGGCAGCAGUGGGGAAUAUUGCACAAUGGGCGGAAGCCUGAUGCAGCAACGCCGCGUGCGGGAUGACGGCCUUCGGGUUGUAAACCGCUUUCGCCUGUGACGAAGCGUGAGUGACGGUAAUGGGUAAAGAAGCACCGGCUAACUACGUG